GUGAAUAUAGCUCAGUGGUAGAGUGCAUGCUUAGCAUGCACAAGGUCCUGGGUUCAAACCCCUGUACCUCCA
rnacentral:tRNA from 1 species